rnacentral:lncRNA from 1 species
AUAUCGGCAUGGGCAAGGUGGCCCACCAAUCAGGGGACGCGGCUGGCUCGCCCUCGCCCUCGCGCGCUGCUACCGCCACUGCGUUUGGUCUUGGGGUUGCCUCGGCGCGAGGACGGCAUGAUGGCGUCCAGUGGAGGGAGGAUAAUGGAGCCAAACUGGGUUAUGGGCCCCAGUAACAAAAAUAAAAAAAUUGUCGCUGAUU